rnacentral:rRNA from 1 species
GUGCCAGCCGCCGCGGUAAUACGGAGGGUGCAAGCGUUAUCCGGAUUCACUGGGUUUAAAGGGUGUGUAGGCGGGCUGUUAAGUCAGUGGUGAAAUCUCCGGGCUCAACCCGGAAACUGCCAUUGAUACUAUCAGUCUUGAAUAUCGUUGAGGCAGGCGGAAUAUAUCAUGUAGCGGUGAAAUGCAUAGAUAUGAUAUAGAACACCAAUUGCGAAGGCAGCUUGCUAAACGAUCAUUGACGCUGAGGCACGAAAGCGUGGGGAUCAAACAGGAUUAGAUACCCUAGUAGUCC